rnacentral:misc_RNA from 1 species
GAUGAAGAACGUAGUGAAAUGCGAUAAGUAAUGUGAAUUGCAGAAUUCAGUGAAUCAUCGAAUCUUUGAACGCACAUUGCGCCCCCUGGUAUUCCGGGGGGCAUGCCUGUCCGAGCGUCAUUACAACCCUCAAGCUCAGCUUGGUGUUGGGCCCCGCCGCCCCGGCGGGCCCUAAAGUCAGUGGCGGUGCCGUCCGGCUCCGAGCGUAGUAAUUCUUCUCGCUCUGGAGGUCCGGUCGUGUGCUCGCCAGCAACCCCCCAUUUUUUUCAGGUUGACCUCGGAUCAGGUAGGGAUACCCGCUGAACUUAAGCAUAUCAAUAAGCGGAGGA